rnacentral:misc_RNA from 1 species
AACGCACCUUGCACUCCUUGGUAUUCCGAGGAGUAUGUCUGUUUGAGUGUCGUGAAAUUCUCAACCCCUCCUUUCUUCAUUGUAAAGGAAGUGGGCUUGGAUUAUGGCUGCUGUCGACCUUGUUGGCUCAGCUGAAAUACACGAGCAAUCAACCGAUCCAACGGAUUGACUUGGCGUUAUAAUUAUUUCGCUGAGAACGUAGGAAACGGAGUGAUGCUUCCAAUUUUAUAAAAUAUAAUUUUGACCUCAAAUCAGGCAGGGCUACCCGCUGAACUUAA